UGGAAAGGCGCGCGAUACAGGGUGACAGCCCCGUACACAAAAAUGCACAUGCUGUGAGCUCGAUGAGUAGGGCGGGACACGUGGUAUCCUGUCUGAAUAUGGGGGGACCAUCCUCCAAGGCUAAAUACUCCUGACUGACCGAUAGUGAACCAGUACCGUGAGGGAAAGGCGAAAAGAACCCCGGCGAGGGGAGUGAAAAAGAACCUGAAACCGUGUACGUACAAGCAGUGGGAGCACGCUUAGGCGUGUGACUGCGUACCUUUUGUAUAAUGGGUCAGCGACUUAUAUUCUGUAGCAAGGUUAACCGAAUAGGGGAGCCGAAGGGAAACCGAGUCUUAACUGGGCGUUAAGUUGCAGGGUAUAGACCCGAAACCCGGUGAUCUAGCCAUGGGCAGGUUGAAGGUUGGGUAACACUAACUGGAGGACCGAACCGACUAAUGUUGAAAAAUUAGCGGAUGACUUGUGGCUGGGGGUGAAAGGCCAAUCAAACCGGGAGAUAGCUGGUUCUCCCCGAAAGCUAUUUAGGUAGCGCCUCGUGAAUUCAUCUCCGGGGGUAGAGCACUGUUUCGGCAAGGGGGUCAUCCCGACUUACCAACCCGAUGCAAACUGCGAAUACCGGAGAAUGUUAUCACGGGAGACACACGGCGGGUGCUAACGUCCGUCGUGAAGAGGGAAACAACCCAGACCGCCAGCUAAGGUCCCAAAGUCAUGGUUAAGUGGGAAACGAUGUGGGAAGGCCCAGACAGCCAGGAUGUUGGCUUAGAAGCAGCCAUCAUUUAAAGAAAGCGUAAUAGCUCACUGGUCGAGUCGGCCUGCGCGGAAGAUGUAACGGGGCUAAACCAUGCACCGAAGCUGCGGCAGCGACGCUGAUGCGUUGUUGGGUAGGGGAGCGUUCUGUAAGCCUGCGAAGGUGUGCUGUGAGGCAUGCUGGAGGUAUCAGAAGUGCGAAUGCUGACAUAAGUAACGAUAAAGCGGGUGAAAAGCCCGCUCGCCGGAAGACCAAGGGUUCCUGUCCAACGUUAAUCGGGGCAGGGUGAGUCGACCCCUAAGGCGAGGCCGAAAGGCGUAGUCGAUGGGAAACAGGUUAAUAUUCCUGUACUUGGUGUUACUGCGAAGGGGGGACGGAGAAGGCUAUGUUGGCCGGGCGACGGUUGUCCCGGUUUAAGCGUGUAGGCUGGUUUUCCAGGCAAAUCCGGAAAAUCAAGGCUGAGGCGUGAUGACGAGGCACUACGGUGCUGAAGCAACAAAUGCCCUGCUUCCAGGAAAAGCCUCUAAGCAUCAGGUAACAUCAAAUCGUACCCCAAACCGACACAGGUGGUCAGGUAGAGAAUACCAAGGCGCUUGAGAGAACUCGGGUGAAGGAACUAGGCAAAAUGGUGCCGUAACUUCGGGAGAAGGCACGCUGAUAUGUAGGUGAAGCGACUUGCUCGUGGAGCUGAAAUCAGUCGAAGAUACCAGCUGGCUGCAACUGUUUAUUAAAAACACAGCACUGUGCAAACACGAAAGUGGACGUAUACGGUGUGACGCCUGCCCGGUGCCGGAAGGUUAAUUGAUGGGGUCAGCGCAAGCGAAGCUCUUGAUCGAAGCCCCGGUAAACGGCGGCCGUAACUAUAACGGUCCUAAGGUAGCGAAAUUCCUUGUCGGGUAAGUUCCGACCUGCACGAAUGGCGUAAUGAUGGCCAGGCUGUCUCCACCCGAGACUCAGUGAAAUUGAACUCGCUGUGAAGAUGCAGUGUACCCGCGGCAAGACGGAAAGACCCCGUGAACCUUUACUAUAGCUUGACACUGAACAUUGAGCCUUGAUGUGUAGGAUAGGUGGGAGGCUUUGAAGUGUGGACGCCAGUCUGCAUGGAGCCGACCUUGAAAUACCACCCUUUAAUGUUUGAUGUUCUAACGUGGACCCGUGAUCCGGGUUGCGGACAGUGUCUGGUGGGUAGUUUGACUGGGGCGGUCUCCUCCUAAAGAGUAACGGAGGAGCACGAAGGUUGGCUAAUCCUGGUCGGACAUCAGGAGGUUAGUGCAAUGGCAUAAGCCAGCUUGACUGCGAGCGUGACGGCGCGAGCAGGUGCGAAAGCAGGUCAUAGUGAUCCGGUGGUUCUGAAUGGAAGGGCCAUCGCUCAACGGAUAAAAGGUACUCCGGGGAUAACAGGCUGAUACCGCCCAAGAGUUCAUAUCGACGGCGGUGUUUGGCACCUCGAUGUCGGCUCAUCACAUCCUGGGGCUGAAGUAGGUCCCAAGGGUAUGGCUGUUCGCCAUUUAAAGUGGUACGCGAGCUGGGUUUAGAACGUCGUGAGACAGUUCGGUCCCUAUCUGCCGUGGGCGCUGGAGAACUGAGGGGGGCUGCUCCUAGUACGAGAGGACCGGAGUGGACGCAUCACUGGUGUUCGGGUUGUCAUGCCAAUGGCACUGCCCGGUAGCUAAAUGCGGAAGAGAUAAGUGCUGAAAGCAUCUAAGCACGAAACUUGCCCCGAGAUGAGUUCUCCCUGACUCCUUGAGAGUCCUGAAGGAACGUUGAAGACGACGACGUUGAUAGGCCGGGUGUGUAAGCGCAGCGAUGCGUUGAGCUAACCGGUACUAAUGAACCGUGAGGCUUAACCUU
rnacentral:rRNA from 1 species